UAUCCCUAGCCCCUCAAUGUCUUAUUAUAUCCUUGUUUGCCCCUGCUUUGCAGUGACCUGAAAUAUUCCUAAGACUUUUUGUCUUUUAUGUAAGUAUUUUUGAAUAACAGAGGUACACCCUCCAUCCCUGCCCUGCCCUGCCCCCAUAAUACUGUGUGUUUGUCUGACCUUUCUCUGUGACUAAGGUUACACUUCCUGCCUAGACUGUGGCCUGCAGAGGGCGCCAUGUUCUUCUCAGGUGAUGGCAUCUGGAGGUGCACAGUGUCUACCUGCCUGGCCCUGGUGACAUUCAGUCCCUGACCUUUCACCCCGUGUUUGCCGAUGGGAUGGAGAGGAGGAAGAGGCGAAGAAAGUUGAAAACAAAAGAACCCAUGACUCAGCGCCAGGCUUGGCAAACUGAUCGGUUUGUGAGUAGCCUAAGUUGGUCGUGUGAGACUUGAAAAGACCUUCAUCGGGAUGACCGGCAAGGAGAUGUGUUUUUCUCUUUGGGGUUGAUACACAUUGAGAGGGUGUCAGUGUGAAGUUCCAAGGGCCUACAACCAAGAGCGGACCUAUCCACAAGUGAAGCCAAUGGAGAGGAAAGAAAAAGAGAUGAACCAGUGGAUACGGCUCAAGACCCUGGAUCCAGCCAGGCCUGACACCCUCCCUUGGGUGUCUGUAAGUGACAAGAGUGCAUAAAUCCUUAUUUUGCUAAAGCCAAUUGGAAUUGAGGUCACUCCAACAGCAGCUCCAAGAUUCUUGACUAAAACACAUUUAAAACUGAAGUCUUACAGUAAUUCUAGGCAGCGGCUCUGACCGGUCAGCUCCUUUAAACACAUUUUGUGGGCUUGGAGGCUCAGGGUGUUAAACUGUCUGAACGUUCUUCUGUGUACUCACCUUGGGGAAUUACAGACGCAGGACCUAGCGGACCCGCCGCUUCUCAAGGA